UGGGGAAUUUUGGACAAUGGGCGAAAGCCUGAUCCAGCAAUGCCGCGUGUGUGAAGAAGGCCUUCGGGUUGUAAAGCACUUUUGUCCGGAAAGAAAUCCUUGGCUCUAAUACAGUCGGGGGAUGACGGUACCGGAAGAAUAAGCACCGGCUAACUACGUGCCAGCAGCCGCGGUAAUACGUAGGGUGCAAGCGUUAAUCGGAAUUACUGGGCGUAAAGCGUGCGCAGGCGGUUUGCUAAGACCGAUGUGAAAUCCCCGGGCUCAACCUGGGAACUGCAUUGGUGACUGGCAGGCUAGAGUAUGGCAGAGGGGGGUAGAAUUCCACGUGUAGCANUGAAAUGCGUAGAGAUGUGGAGGAAUACCGAUGGCGAAGGCAGCCCCCUGGGCCAAUACUGACGCUCAUGCACGAAAGCGUGGGGAGCAAACAGGAUUCAGAUACCCUGGUAGUCCACGCCCUAAACGAUGUCAACUAGUUGUUGGGGAUUCAUUUCCUUAGUAACGUAGCUAACGCGUGAAGUUGACCGCCUGGGGAGUACGGUCGCAAGAUUAAAACUCAAAUGAAUUGACGGGGUCAUAGCUGUUUCCU
rnacentral:rRNA from 1 species